UUCCAAAUCCAAAGGUGCCAUUGUUCUUCA
rnacentral:piRNA from 1 species